UACGUAGGGGGCGAGCGUUGUCCGAAUUUACUGGGCGUAAAGAGCGCGUAGGCGGGUUCUUAAGUGAGAGGUGAAAGGUUCAGGGCUCAACCCGAACAGUGCCUUUCAUACUGGGAGCCUUGAGUGUGGGAGAGGCGAGUGGAAUUUCUGGUGUAGCGGUGAAAUGCGUAGAUAUCAGAAGGAACACCUGUGGCGAAAGCGGCUCACUGGACCAUUACUGACGCUGAUGCACGAAAGCUAGGGGAGCAAACAGG
rnacentral:rRNA from 1 species